rnacentral:lncRNA from 1 species
AGGCAUUUACCUAUUACAGAGAUGGUGCGAUUUGAUUAGUUUUUUAUUUACCCCUUUCGGUCUUAGAAGAAAGAAAGACAAUUCGGGAUAGAAAAAAAAAAAAAAAAGAUUAUUGAAAAAAUCUACGCUUGUUGAAGGUGAAGUUUAUAGAUAAAACCAUUCCUUCUGUCGUGUAUCCCCGAUUAAUGCAGCCUCAGAUGCUUCAAUUGUCGAUUCUAGUAUUGAGCGAAAGGUUACACCUAUGGGUUCUGUAUUGCAAGUCAACCCUACUACACCAGUACCAAUAGGCGGCAUAGGGGAAGAGGCGCUACGUCUAGGAAUCAGCAACACGAAAACUUUGUUAUAAGCUGCCCCCUUUCCUUAGCGGGAUCGGGACUAAGAAGAAUGGUUGGGAUAACAAACAUCCAUCUCGUUCGUACUGUGGAUACCCGUAUAACCAUCGAAGACUGUUGAAGUGAUUAAUUCCUGUAAAUUAAGGGGCGUUGAGAACAAAGAAAUUGUUGGAGUUUCCGGUUUUAUCUAGUACCAACACGCGUGAUAUUAAGAAAAAAGCUUUUGCAGGAAGGUUGGCUAGAGAUUUCUUGUAAAAACAUUAGCCCCACUUAGUUCAUAAUGAGAAUAUUUCAAUCUUUUUUGAUUUCAUGGAUUAUUCUCAUAAUGCACAUAAAGGAGGAGCCGUAUGAGAUUUUCAUCUCAUGUACGGUUUUGAAACGGAGAAUUCUUUGAAUCGAAUGACGACCGUAACGGAUGUCAGCUCAAUCUGAAGGCAAUUAUGCGGAAGCUUUACAGAAUUAUUAUGAAGCUAUGCGACUAGAAAUUGAUCCUUACGAUCGAAGCUAUAUACUCUAUAACAUAGGCCUUAUCCACACAAGUAACGGAGAACAUACAAAAGCUUUAGAAUAUUAUUUUCGGGCACUAGAACGAAAUCCGUUCUUACCACAAGCUUUUAAUAAUAUGGCUGUGAUCUGUCAUUACGUGCGACUAUCUCUACUAUAGAAAGAAAAAAGUAAAAGAAAAAAAAAAAAGGAGGGGGGGUAAAGAGCAAAUACACUAAUAAAUACUCGAAAAAAAAAAAAUAGGCUUUCUACAUAUGCAUCGUGCAAAAACGAUUUUUAUCAGCUGUAGCAAAGAAAGAAACUUCAUAGAAGUCGAAAUAUGAAGAAAUCGAUAUGCCUAGAUAGUUUAUUCUAUGGAUAAAGGAUCUAAUUGAUAGAGGAAGCACCGUAAAGAUCAAUUCGCGAGGUUUUGGGCCGAUGCCGAUCCAAUAAGAACUGCUUAUUUAUGUCAUGAUAUGAGAUAAAAGUAAGGAAUCCACUUAUGUAAUAAAGUCGAUCCCCUAAGGUAUUGAGCAGCGGUGUAGCAUCAGAUCCCAAAGACAGUAAGCCUUUUCUUUCUUAGGAAGAAAGGGCUUUUUCAAAGAUUCUAUAUCAAUUUUUAUAUGAAACCGAGAUAGAUACCUUUCAGAAAAUUCUAACUAUAGUGGAAAUGCUUCUAUGUUAU